rnacentral:lncRNA from 1 species
UUGAUGUUUGCAUGCUUAGGUGAUUUAGCGUGCAUAGCAUGGCCCUUGGGGUGGUAGCUAAUUCCCAUGGUGAGGAAUUAGUGAUGUGAGUCACUAGGUCUCAAAUGAAUGGGACUAGUGAGCUUGGUAGCCGUACCUGGAUUUGGUCGGUGAGGUUGAACUAUAUGUUCACGAAUAGUCGGUACCGCAUGCAUGGAGUCUCAUUG